GAAAGAGGGGGAUCUUUAGGCCUGUGCUGAGUGGCAAUCCCAUCAGGCCUCCGCGGGUUGCAAACAGCAACCCGUCCCCUUUAGUCCCACCGAGUGAGUGGGCCACUCCUGCUUCGCUGUGGCCCCGCCUUCCUAAGAUGUCUCCUAAUAUGUUUUGGUUACCGAGUCAGCCCAGUUCCUACAGGCCGAUUCUGCCUUCCUCUGGGAUGGACCCGCCGCUCAGAUCAGCUUGAAUGAGCCGCAUCUUGGACCAGCCUGCAGGGCUGUGCGACCGCAACGGCCCAAGCGAAAUCAAGACCUGGAUUUUCCGGCCACGUAGCCCAGGACUCCAGACCACGGUACGCUCGGCCUUCGAAGGAUUAAUGGACAGUGCUGUGGACUGGUCAUUCGAACUGAGGAUGCUGUUCAGAUAUACGAUCCCAACUACACACAGGAAACUCCCGGGCGAAGCUUCGCACUAGUGUGUGAGGUUGUAUCCAAGCAGCGAAGUGGUUAAACCUGCCAGAGGGAAAAGGGGACCCGACGGCGCGUACCCAGUCAGCCUGCUUCAACACUUGCUCUGGCUUUGCCGCAGCUGCCUCCCUUUUCUCAGAACCCUUUCUCCUCAUCCAGCCCUGGAAUGGGGAGAGAAUCCAAGGAAGACCUGAAGAACCCAAGGCUCCUAGAUGGGGCCAUCUGGGCUCUGUUUGAAAGCAAAUUAGCUUUCCAACACAAGUCUGGGCUCCAGCAUCAUCUAGAUUCCUGGGAAGUCUUUCCUGCCGUCUGACUCCAAUUUAUCCCCGCUGCAGUGACUGAUCAGCUCACCUUAGUGUCCAACCUCAGGGAUGGUGGGUUAGAGGAGUCCAGAAAUGGACAAGGCCCUGGAUGAGGGUUUGAAUCCUCCCCCUUCUUUUCCCAAGCUCCAGGCCUGGGAUGUAGCCUGAGUCUGGGCCCACAUUAGGCUUUAUCUAAACUCCUCAGAUUACUUAGCAGGGGGCUGAGCUCCAAAAUGGCUCAGAAGGACCAGACCCCAGACAGGUCUUGGAGUGGAACUGAUCAGUUUCCCCUUUGGGGUCAGUUUGGGGACAAGACCCAACCCCCCUAUUAGCCCUUAGAAGCGCACACCAAAGACAGGAGAAGAGGACCUUUCUCAGCUUGAGAAUCCCCACCCAUCUUGGAAGUGGGAGUUCCUAACGUCUGGAUUUGUCCACGUCUUCAUAUACUCCACAACAAUCCUCAGUGUCCCACUCUGCGCAGUGGACUCACGCCUCCCGCGCCUGUGCAGCCUGGAGACCAGCAUCUUCUAAGGCUGCAAGGAGCUAAAAAUCGCUCCCGCCCACCCAC